AGGUCUUUUUUAAAUUGAUUCAAUUGUGAAAUAAAAUAUCAUGACAUGUGUAUUGUGUAUCUAGGGAGAAUUCACUUUGAAAUGACUAAUCCCUAGAUACAUCUAUUUCAUUUUAGACCUAUUCUGAAUAUAUAGAUUUGUGCGAAUUUUUAGAAAAAAUAAAUGAUGAAAAAAAAUCCAAUGGAUUUCAAAUUUAUGCAAAAUGCUUUUCGAUUUGUAAAAUGUUUAAUAUAUUUUUUACAUCUUCUACACGAAAAUGUUCAAUUUUCAUAAGG
rnacentral:lncRNA from 1 species